GCUUGCUCCCUCGGGCGUUGAGGCGGGCGCCGCCUCCCCGGCAGCCUUGGCAGCCGCCUGCUCCUCGGGAACCGGCGAGGAGGGGCGCGUCGCCUUCUUCGGCGUGGAUCCGGCGGGCUGCAGCCUACCUCCCGCGGCUGCUCGUCGGUGAGCGUGCCCUUGGCCUCCUCCUCCCUCGGUGCCUCCCCGCCGGCCGUGGCCCCUGCUGCACGCGCGCAUCCAAGGAAGAUGCAAAACGGGUUGAAAGAAGUUGAACGGGAUGUCGUCCGCGCCGCCGGCCACCACCUCGGCCUCGCCACCACCCAGGCCGACCCUCAUGAGUCCCGGCGUGGAGUGGAACUGCAGGCCCAGUUUGACCUAUCGGAGGCCUCAAGUUCACUGUCGCUUGCUCCAAGCUGCAAAAUUUGGCCACAAAUUUUGGUUUCAGUGUUCAGAUACUGAGAUAUAGCAGAGAAUUAGAGAUGAGAUCUUCGGAGGGAGAGGAUAGCUGACAAGAUGAAGGCGUUGCUGGAGCUGGUCCCUAACGCCAACAAGGAAGACCAAAUUUUCCCCUAUCUUUUCUUUUCUCCUUUCUUUUUCUCCUUUUGCCCAUUCUUUUGAACGAAGUAGCAGGAAGCUUUCCUUGAGAUGUGGUGAGGGUGCACUCAUUUCUUUUUCUUUUUUCUUUUUUGCGCUGUGUUGUGAUGUAGCAUUACGUUUUUCCUUAAAUUUAGUAUUUGGCUGAUACACUAUCUUGACUUGUUAUAGUAUAAUGUGCUAUGCUCUCCUAUGUGUAACAUUGGUAAAAUAAAAGGUGCAUUACGGAAUAGAAAAACAUGGUAGUUGGGGCAUAUUGUGCAUUUGGCCACUUCACUGCUUGGCUGAUGCCACACGUGUCGGACCUCCAUUGGGAGGAUGUGUUUUAGUAAUUAGUAGCUUCUAAAGAUGGUCUAGCACUUUAUUUUCUUUUUUAAAAAAAGUUGGUCAGUAGUAAAAAAUCUGCUGCCAGUAAGGCCGCAAAACUAUUACAUGGCAUUAUCUAGGGGAAUGUUGAUCACUGGAAGCCACAAGAUUCCUAUGAGGGGAAUGGUAGGUUAACUGGCUAGACUUUAGUGUAGGAUUUGUCCAGUGCGGUCAAGGUUAACUAUUACAUGACAUUUUAUCUAGGGGGGUGUUGAUCACUGGAAGCCACAAUUAAAAUUCCAAACAUUUCUUUGGGCUUGCAUCUUAGGUGGCUGCAUUGCUUGAGCUUCUACCAAAAGGAAGAGGCUACUCGAAUAAAAAUUGGAGAGGAUUAUUGUUUCAUUCAAUUGGAAGAUUGGGUUUCUUUACCUCUCCUUUUAUGAUGUGAUGUGAUCUACAAUUUGUUGGAAGCAAAUUGAUUUUUUUCUUGAUUUGUUUGUGACCUUUUUGGUUUCAAUAAAGGAAGAGGAAGAAAUUGAAAUGUGUUUGGAAAUUAUUUUCAACAGUAUUCCUCUCACCCCCAGCAAACACUAGAUUUUUUGUUUCUUGUUUUGUCUUGCUGGCUAAGGUGUAAUUUCAUUGUGCAUUCUGUCAGAUGUGAAUUGUGCCAUGGUCAAGCAGAGGGAUUUCAUUCUAGAUUCUGCAAGGGAGAAAGGUUUUAUCAGAAGAAGGCCAUGUAGAGAAGGAAUUAGUACUUCAGAAGAAGGUUAACUCGAUUGGAGACAGAUAGCCACAAAUCGUCUGUGGAUCAGAUCAUCGGAUGGAGUGGAUGCCGGAAUUGGUGAGACGUCAACAAGGUCCAGGAGUAUCAGGCUAGGCCUCUUUGCUCCAUCAAGGAUCACAAGGCUUUGAGUGCAGGUACUCUCACAUCUCAGCUUGACCUAAUCGAAGGGCUUCUUGGUAUCUGCUAUCUACAUUUAGGCAGGCGCGUCAGCCAACACAGGAUAUUGAUUUCCUGCAUGUACCUGCUUAUUAGCUUGUGCUUUGUGGUUAUCUGCUUUUUCAUUUGGUGCUUUAAUUCAACAACCUGUGUUUUUCUUGUGAUGCUCUUUCGCUGCUUGUUUUCAAGUGGGGUUUGUAGAGAAAGGCCCUUGGCUGAUUGGAUGAACAAGGAGGGAAUUAGUUCCACAUUAGCCUAGCGGGUUGUUGUUCUAAAUAACUGUGAGGUAAUCUGAAAUAGCAGCAAGCUCGACAUAAGGAACUGCUGUCAGGCUCAUUUCUCUUUUUCCCUUGGGAACAAUCUAGCAUGCAAUUCAAAAUAUCUUUGAUCUGAUGCAAUAGUUGGUUGGGUGAAGAGAAGAAUAAAUUUUAUCGGAUUAUAUUGUAUUUUGAGUAUUCCAUGAAUUUGCACUAUAUAAUUUGAUGCCUUGCAGAACAUUGUUUUAGGGUUUGCUUUAUGAUUGUUUGCCAAAACUAAAACAAAUUGGUUUACAUGAACCACUUAAUCGUGUAGAAGUUUGUUUAGUUGAACAGUGCUAAGGGUUGCUUGGUUCUUAUCUGAUGUGCUGCAGGAGGAUGAACUAGGAUUGCCAGUGGUGCCUCGAGCAUCACUUCACUGUUAGAAUGAAUAAUUGUCUAGGAAGAACGAAUGAUCGCACAAUUGCUAUGAGAGGCUUCAGAAUUUUAAAACUGGCUGAAACUCCCAGUUUUAUCAUGACGAUUUUUUGGUUUUCCCCACUUCUGACAGAGCAUGUAGUUGCUUGUGAGAAGAAAGAAUCUUGUUUUGUUUUCUGACAGGCACGAGAUGGUUGCAAGUGUCACCUGGCGUUUGACAACAGGAACUUCUUCAAAGCACAACCCAGGAAAGACGAGGUUCUCUUCGUUGUGGCCCAGUUUCCUACCAAGCCCUAUAAGUAUUCUCAAGUUGUAGGUGCAAGAGAGAAAAAUAAAUGGUGUCUCCGGCAUAAUCUAUUGCUGUCAAAAUGGUUGGAGUCGUGUGCUUGUGUUUGACCGCAGAAAACAAAUGAAUUCAAGGAUAGAUGUAUUCAAAUGUCAAUUUGAUGAAUGACAUUACUAAAAAAAUCAAAUAUUUGAAGUGUUGGUUGA